rnacentral:lncRNA from 1 species
GAAAAACAAUCACAACCCUGAACUAAAAAGAAUAAAACACCAGCUAUGGUGGUGAGCUUGGGUAAACUUGGUUGCUGAUGAUGAUGACCUUGUUGGCGUUUGAAGCAGAAGCUGAAGAAGGCCUAUUAGUAGUGUUGUCUGAAACUGAAACAGAGCAAAAGCAUUUGCACAAUUUGAUCAAACAUCAUCCUCUUCACUAACCUCUUCUUCACCGGGAACACACUUCCAGCUUUUGGUUUGAACAACCAUGGCUCAGCCUUGCUUUGAUCUUGAGAUGAACUCAACUUCAGCUUCAUGGGCUCCUUUGGGUGGUGGUGCUCUGUUUUGGGGCAGAGGAGGUCUUCUUCCCCAUCUGGCUUCAAGUUGUUCCACGCCCUCUCUGCUUCUGAUGAAGUUUUCUUCAUUGCCAUGCCUGUAAUCUCUCUGUCUGUCUGAUUGUGGGCUUCCUUCUGGUUCGGUGUGUUUAUGAAAGCCGUCCACGAGUUUAAUUUAUAGACAAGAAAAAAUUGUUUCCUUUUCCAUUGUAGGCCCUACUAAAGAAGGACCAUUAUUUUUUACCCAACAAAAACAGAAAAAAGGAAUGACUUCUCCUAAUUUGUUCUCUUAUAGUCUUGGACACUUGAAGACAGAAAUAAAUUUGGAAAAAGACAAUCCACUCGUACGAUAAAUUUAACAUCCUGAGUCUGUCCUUAAGUGUAGCAAAGUCAGAAAUUAAUUUAUUCUUAAAUUGAUAAUCAGUCUCAGAGAGCAACCUACUUGGACGAGUUCGGAUAUUCACACCAAGAACAGCAGUCAUGUCAUAUAUAGGUGCCCACUAAAAUACAAGGUGCCCAAGAAAUAAUUCUGCGUUUCCAUUCCAUGAGCUUGCUUGGACGCUGCCUACUAAAAUACAAAGGUGCCCAAAAAAUGGCUUUUACAUGACGAUAUUUUCUUCACGUGCUUUUAGCUUUCAAUAUUAUUGCUCCCCCUUUUUUUUUAACAGUUCAAAUUCCACCCGAGAAAAAGGUGCCCCUUCUGUGUCGAGUGUCAUCUUUCUAACGAGUCUGAUUUGAUUGGAAUAAUUAGCACUUGGUUAAGCCAAUCAACACGGGCCAUGAUUUUCUUUAUUUUUUUACCAUCAUUUUUUUUGUUGUCAAAAUGUUAAUCUAACCAAGUGUUAAUUGGCUUAGCCAGUUCAUUGUUUUUUAUUUUUAUUUUAUCUUUGUAACUAUGGCCAGAGCCCAAAACAAUUAAGCAAGCUUAACUAAUAUAAUAAUAGCCUAAAGAGGCCCAGCAGAGGGAGACAGGUCGCAGGCCUUUGAGCCCAAUUUCUAAACUUAAGCCCAGAAGCGAUGUUUUUUUAACACAGUCGAUGGUGGAGGAGGGGCGAAUCAAACCUAAGACCUCAAGUACAUGUGUGGCUAGUCUUACUGUUUCAAGUUGUAAAAUGGGGGUCUUCCGAUUCCACAACUUUUGUAAUGAACUUCCUCUCUAAUCAAGGACCAUGCGACAAAGAAGAGGAAAAGGCAUUUCACUUAUGGAAAAAAUAAAACUGUAAUGACCUGAAAAUGGCAGAUAUUAUUUGUGGUGUUGCAUCUAUAUAUAUAAAGCAAAAGGUAGAGAAUGGUGAAACAUUCAAAAUACCAGAAAAUGUCCUUUGUUAAUUCAAACAUUAAGAAUUGAAAUUAUUAAUUAAAUGAGGAUAAUAUGGUAAAUUCAUAUUUUUUAAUAUUAAAAAAAUUAAAAUUAAAAACAAAAUAAGAUAAUAGGUCCUACUUUUAUGGAACAUAACUACCCUGUUAUCUUUUAUUAAUUCUAAAAAUAAAAUAAAAAAGAAAAAGAAAAUCAAUUGGCACAUACGUGAGCAUGUGUCAAGGGGCUAGUAUUGAAUAAUAGAUGAAUUAGCUUAGCCUGGUUUUCUAAUUUUCCACUUUCUAAGUUACAACUCAAUUCAUUUUUGUUUUUGUUUUUAUUUCAUCAUUGUGGCAAAGGUCAAAGGCAAUAACACCAAAGCAAGCUUAACUAAGAAUAGCCUGGUACCUGGUAGAAGGAGACGGGUCAAAGGCCUCUGAGCACAACUCCAAACUUAAUAGCUAAGGACCACACCAAACUAAAUUAAGCUUUUUUUUUCUUCUUCUUUAUACAAGUGAUUGGGGAAUUGAGGUUUACACAAAUAUUUAUUGGGUGUCUAAGAAUUUAAACCUCAGCUCAUAUGGGAGUGAAAGCAAUGGUGGAACUAUAAAUUUUUUGGUGUGUACUAAAAUUAUUAAUUUUUUUUGUAUGGGAGAUCUAUAUAAACAAUGAGAACUAAUUUAUUAUUAUUAUUUUUUGGUAUGCUAAUUGAUACAGUGAGAACCAAGUGGGAAUCAAAAACUGAAAUUGUGGAAGUAGAAGCACGAACAAAAUUGUACAAUUCAUAGCAGUAGCAUAUCCAAAAAAAUUUAAACAGAGGCAUAAACACUAAAGCUUUGUUGCACUUGUAGCAGGCAUGUUUACGUAUCACUAAUGGAGAAAGUAAAGAAUAAGAGAAUUUAGGAAUCAGGGAGUAUUGAAUCGGUAUGGAAAGAAUCAUUCCCAUUAAGCAGUUUACUAAACAUAUGAAAUUAGCAAAGGAAUGAGGUUGAUUCUCAUUGUUAUUGUUUACUAAUUUUUAUGAAUCAGAAUCCAAAUUAAUUUGAUUACUAAAAUGCCCUGCACAUUUUCACCACAUCACAUAUAAUUCUCAAAUUGGCUAAGGAUACCAAACUAAUCCUACAGCAAACUAGUAAGAUGGUGUAAACAGGAGGAAUCAAUAUGUUAAACAAGAUGAACAUCAAGAGCCUAAUUCAAUGAUAAUUUUAAUAACACCUUUGUCCAGAGCCAAUUUCAAACAAAAAAAUAAACUCCAAUAACACCUUGGAGCGUCUUUGAACUUCUUAGUGUGAGUUUUUUUUUUUUUUUAAGGGUUUGGGGUGUUUUGGAAUUAUGGUAAAAUGGUAAGGGUAUUUUUGGAAGUUAAUAAGGGAAAACAUGAAUGAGAAUCGUAUCAACUACCUCCCUCUAGUUGAUCUGAUACCUAAUUUUGAGGGGAUGUGAUUACGGAUUUUGAGGUACGGCCCACUUAUUUUUUCAUUCCUGAUUGCAAGUAAACGCAGGGGAAGUCAGGAAUGGAAAUCAUUCUCUUUCCUUCCAUACCCAUUACUGAUACGUAAACAUGCCAUGGAUGUGAACUUGCAAAUCAGAAGAAGAAGAAAAGAGAAGAAAACAAUGGUUUCCUACUCACGUGGUCUCCAAACCACAAAGUAAUUAAAAAAAAAACAAGUUAUACAUAUAUACACACUAGCCCCUUGGCACAUGCUCACGUAUGUGCCAAUUGGUUUUAUUUUUUAUUUUUUAUUUUAUUUUUAGAAUUAAGAAAAUAUAAUAUGGGUAGUUAUAUUACAUAAAAGUAUGACAUAUUAUCUGAUUUUGUUUUUAAUUUUAAUUUUUUUAAUAUGAAAAAAAAUGUGAAUUUACCAUAUUAUCCUCAUUUAAUUAAUAAUUUUAAUUCUUAAUGUUUGAAUUAACCAAUGCCAUUUUCUGGUAUUUUGAAUGUUUCAUCAUUCUCUGUCUUUUGCUUUAUAUAUACUAGUCUCCCUGCACACACGCUUCUGUGCUUGCGAGAGGUUUUUUAUAUAAAAAAAGCCUAAAUUUAUUUUAGAAUCAAAAAGAUAAUGGGUAGUUGUGUUUCAUAAAAAUAUGAUUCAUUAUCUUCUUUUUUUUUCUUUUUUUUAAUAUGAAAAAGUGUGAAUUUACCAUAUUAUCCUCAUUUAAUUAAUAAUUUUAAUUCCUAAUGUUUGGAUUAAAUAAGGGCAUUUUCUGGUAUUUUAAAUGUUUCAUCAUUCUCAGCCUUUAGCUUUAUAUAUACUAGCCUCUCUGCACGCGCUUACGCGCUUGCGAGAGGUUUUUUUAAAAAAAUAAGUAAAUUUAUUUUAGAAUUAAAAAAGAUAAUGGGUAGUUGUGUUCCAUAAAAAUAGAACCAUUAUCUGCUUUUUCUUUUUCUUUUAAUUUUUUAAAUAUGAAAAAGUGUGAAUUUACCAUAUUAUCCUCAUUUAAUUAAUAAUUUGAAUUCUUAAUGUUUGCAUUAACUAAGGGCAUUUUCUGGUAUUUUGAAUGUUUCAUCAUUCUCUGCCUUUUGCUUUAUAUAUAUAGAUAUAUGUAUAUAUAUAUAUAUUCAUGGGAGAAGGAAAUACCUUAUAAAUUAGCACCAAAUCACUGUUUUAUCAAAUCUUACACCAAGCUGAAGCCCAAUCCAGUCUACACGCAGUUUCACACUUGGAUAGUAUAACCCAAUCAACUGAGCUAUAUCCCAUUGGCCAAAUUAAAUUAAGCUUAGUCUCACGUACUUAAAGAGCUCAUAAUUCUGUUUUACAGAAAAUAGAAUUUUAUUAAAUUGGCCUUUUCCCUUCUCCCUCUCUAACAUGAAUUAAUGAUGAUGAUGAUUUUAUAAUUUUCACUUUACAUCUUGAUGUCAGGUAUUUAUUGAAUUCAAUUCAAUUUGUUGUGUUAUGAUUAAUUGCAUUCAAAUUAAUCAGAAUGAUAUUAUCAUGUGGUAUUAUCAAUUUAUAUAUCGUAGCAUGAAGUUAUUAAUUUACGUAUUAUUAUAUCACGUGAAAAAUUACUCCAAAUAAGGUCAGCUUGAUACCUUUCUCACAUAUAUAUAAUGUCAAUCAAUAGACUGAAAUAGGAGAGGUAUUAUUUCUAAUUCAUUUGAUUCUUUGUUGGGUUUCUAUGUAAGUGUAAUGAAUGAAAGGCUGAGAACUAGCAUUAUAGGCCUAAUAGCUAGUCAUGACUUUUGAUUAAAAUCCAUGUUGUACAAGUUUUUUGAGAAGAAAAAGGCAAAAGGGCAAGAUAUUAGAGCCUUUCCACCCAUGAUGCGGGAUGAACUGGCAAGACUUUUCAUCAUAACUAUUGGCAAGCAGCUGUUAGCCUAUGCCAAAGAUAAGAUUACCAUUUAAUUAAACGCCUCAUUAAUUUGUUUCACCAACCAUCUACCCUUUUUUUUUUGAAAAAAUGAAAGGAAAAAAAUUAUGGAAAAUUACUAAAAAAUUUAGAAUUUUUUUUAUACAUACCUACCAAUUUUUUAUUUAUUAAUUUCAUAUAUAUAAAUAAAAUUAGUAGUUACCCUUGAGUUGCCAUGGCAAUGGGUGGAAGAACAAUAAAAUAAAAAAUUAUUAUGACAGAUACUAUUCGCGUAAAUAGUAACCGCUCUUAUUUGUCCUUGUCAUUUAUCAUGACAAAUGGGUGGAAAUGCUCUUUGAAAUGGCACAUGGAAUUUCUGUUCAUAUAUAACCCACAUGCUAGUACAAAUGUCAAUUGAUCUUAUUGAUUAGGGUUAGGUUAUCCUCUUUAUAGAAACUCAGAGGCCAUCCUGCUUUGUUAAUCUUUGUUUAAAUGUGAUUGAUAUAUAAAUCUUUCUACCGAUUGGGUAUUUUCCAAUUUGGAAGCUUCAAGCUAGGUUAUGCGACAAGGUUGAAUAUAAAAUAUAUCCAAAUGCACCAUAACUUAUCGUUUUUUCCUCCAAAUCAGCAAAUCAAAGAGAUGGCCACAUGAUGAACACAAAGUCAAAUUAUAAUACGUACCCAGUUGGGGGGCUAUAUAUGCAAAAGUUUUGAUUUUGAUUUUUGAUUUGAAAAGAAAAAAGGAUGAGAGCUUGUAAUAUACACCAAAACACAAGAAGACGUACGUCUUUGUUCUAAACUUUCAUUUUUGAAGUUUUUAAUAUUCAAAAGCAUAUGCGACUUCGUAAUUUAUAAUUUAUAGCCAUAUAUAGCACAAUUAGAAUCUUAAAGAUUAAUUUUCCCAAAGGCCUUACAAUUUUAUAAUUAAGUUGGUUUUUCUUUUUUGUCACACGAUCUCAACCUGGUUACAAGGACGGAUUCAGGAUUUCAAAUUGAGGUGGGCUAAAUUUACCUUACGCACAUAACUAUUAAACUUGACAGUACAAAGUGAAGUUCAUUGAUAACAAAAGGCUACAACUAAUCAUAAUCAUAAUGACAUAAUGAAUUUUACUCCCCAAAAAGCAUCUAGUACAUAAUUCUUUUAUAUUUUCUACGUGCGGGGUAUGUGAAGUGAAGGGUGGGUUAUUUUUUACCAAACAAGAAAAUAAGAGGGGUUGUUUUCUACCAAAAAAUUAAAAGAAGCAGGGUUUUUUGUAUUGGCCUUUGGCCCCUUAUGUACCAAAAGGAAAAUGAGAGAAAAAAAGUAAGGGGGAUUAUGAGAGAGCAGUGCAGGGCUAUAGCACAUGUUAGUCAAAGAGUAGGUCGGUACCUGCCUGGUUAUGUUCUUUAACAUUUUGAUUUAUGCAUGGCAUGUUACGUCAAGCCUUGACGUAAAGUUGAAGCUUAAUUCCGCACGCAAUUUGACUCUCCUUAUAAUAAUUUCAUAUUUUAGUAGGGCAUGCAUGCAUGCAGCAGAUUAGGGUGGACCCUGAAGACAUCAUUUCUAGAUAAAUGAAGUUGGACCAAAAAGAACCUGGAAAUAAUGAGGUUAUAAAAAUAAAAAUGAAGUUAUGCAUUGUAUGAAAGCCAUGAUAAAAUUACAUCAACGUCACCAGGAAGGAAAUUAGCAGAAACAGAAAUACAAUUGCAUGCCUGUAGGCUGUGUGUGUACUGGAAACAAUAAAUUUACAUCAGCUCCUAUAUCUAUUCUAUGGCGGUGGGCUUGGAUAAACGUGGUUGCUCAUGAUCUUGUUGGCGUUUGAAGCAGAAACUGAAGAAGGCCUAUUAGUAACAUUGUCUGAAACUGAAGCAAGAGCAAAACCAAUGGACAAUUUGAUCAAACAUCAUCCUCUUCACUAACCUCUUCUUUGCCGGGAAGACACAGCCAGCUUUUGGUUUGAACAACCUUUGCUCAUCCUUGGUUUGAUCUUCAGAUGGGCUCAACUUCAGCUCCUUUGGGUGGUGCUCUCUUUUGGGGCAGAGGGGAUCUUCUUCCCCAUCUGGAUUCAAGUGCUUUAACGCCUUCUCUGCAUCUGAACUUUUCUUCAUUGACAUCUCUCUCUCUCUCUCUCUCUCUCUCUCUCUCUCUCUCUCUCUGUGCCAAACAACCCUCUCUCUCCUCCUUUUGCACCAGGGUAAAAAUGAAUGCAAAUGUAGCCUUCUUUUAAUAUUUGCCGAAGAUGUUGUGAUAUGAUUAAUUGUGUUCAAAUUAAUCAAAAUAACACCGUCAUGUGAUAUUAUCAAUUUAUAUGUUGUAGUAUGAAGUUAUUAAUUCAUGUAUUAUUACUUCACGGAAAAAAUUACUCCAAAUAAGGCCAGCUAGCCUUUCUCACAUAUAUAAUGUGUAUCAAUAGACUGGAAUAGGAGAGGUAUUAUCUCUAAUUCAUUUGAUUUUUUGUUGGGUUUCUAUGUAAGUGUAAUGAAUGAGAGGCUUAGAGCUAGCAUUAUAGGCCUAAUAGCUAGUCAUGACUUUUGAUCAAAAUCCAUUUUGUACAAGUUUUUUGAGAAGAAGAAAGCGAAAGGGCAAGAUUUUACAGCCUUUCCACUCAUGAUGCGGGGUGAACUGGCAAGACUUUUCCUCAUAAUUAUUGGCAAGCAGCUGUAAGCCAAUGCCAAAGAUAAGAUUACCAUUUAAUUAAACGCCUCAUUAAUUUGUUUCACUGUGAAAAAACCCCUCCACUAAGGAAUUCUAGCCCGGAUUGGACGUGGGCUCCAUCAAGGUUGGGUAGUGUUCGAAGGCAAGAUAAGCCCGACCUGGUGCAUGAAGACGUUAACAUCAAUAUUGACGUCAGGGAAGAAAUAAAUUGGAAAAAAAUUCUGAAAAGUUACUAAAAGGUUCAGAAUUUUUUUUAUACAUACCUACCAUUUUUUUAUUUAUUCAUCUCAUAUAAAUAGUAAUUUCCCUUGGAUUGCUAUAGCAAUAGUGGGAAAGCAAAAAAAAAAAAAAGAAAAAAAAAAGAAAAAAAAGCUAUAACAAACACUAUUCACAUAAACAGUAACCGCGCUUGCUUACUUUUGUGACAGGACCCGCCUCAGAAUUUUCCGGAAAUCAGAGCGAAUAUCGUCUUAAAUCUGACAUCACCCCGAUGCGGGCCCACUUACUAAAAACUCGAGACUUUCUACCAACAAUUUGGCAGUCUUCCCUGUAAAAUGAACAAUUCCCAAAUUUUCAACCUGCUCAAAAUUCACAAUUUAACAUAUCCAACCGGCAGCAUGCUUUAAAGUGAAUAAACAGUUUACAACAAAGGCCUCCGGCCUCACAAAUCAAACCCUAACAGGGGCGAUAAUAGAGCAUGUCUAAGAAUUUCAAUUUCAACUUAACAGAGUUCAACUGGAAUAAAAUGAUGAAAGAGUUCCUACGAAGGCUCAAGACUCGGCUCGGCUGCGGAGCUCAAUCAACUAAUAGCUGGGGGGCGCAUAACAGAAAAUUGUGAGUGGACAAAAAUAAAGUUCAUUCAGUGUAAACCAACAUAGUAUAACGCCGCCGUUAGAAAACCAUGCAAGAAAAUCCAAAUGCAUCCCAAAACAUCAUAAUCAAGUAUAUAUAUAUAUAAUCAAAUCAGAACCGGAUACCAAGUCCGAAAUCCAUAAAGAACGCUUUACAAACCCACCAUCCAAAACUUAUAAAUCCUACAACUAAACUCUUGAAAGCGUACCCAUUGGCACGAUCGGCAAAGAAGUAUCCUUACCGAGAAACAAGAACGAAUGAAUAGCUAUAUAUAUAAUUAUAAUUAUAUAAAAACUUAGAGCACUUCCACCCAUUUGUCAUGGCAAAGGGCAAGGGGAGGCAAUGGUUGUUACUAUUCACAUGAAUAGUGGCAGCCUUGGCAUAAGCUCGUUGUGCUUCCACCCAUUGCCAUGGCAACCCAAGGACAACCACUAUUCACAUGAAAUAUGAGGAGAUGAAUUUGUAUAGAGUUUUGGUGUGAGAAGUAAAGAAUAUGGCUAGGUAUUUAUGUAUAAAUUUUUUUUUAUUUUUUGGGUAUUUUUUUUCAAUUUUUUUGUUAUUUAAAUUGGUUGCUGGUGUCAUUAUGAUGUCAGCAUUACAUCACUUACCCAGGCAAGAGCACGGGGUGAUUCUACUUGAGGCCUUGCCCAGGUUGGUGGUCCCCAAACUUGCCUAGGCUUGCCUUUGGCACUGGAACUGUCUUUGUGGGCUAGGCCCUGUCCUACCUCGGCGAAAGGCCUUCCGCUGGAAGUGCCUGAGCGAAAGGCCUUUUGCUGGAAGUGCCCUUAAAGGCCACUAGCGGAACUAGGUAGAGGGCUACCAUGGGCUCUAGCCCAAGUAGCCUAUUUUUAAAAUUAAAAAAUAUUACAUUUAUUUUAAUGUUAUUCACCCCAUAAAAGCUUAGUAGCCCAGUCAAAUGUAGCCUCGUAACCAUUGUUCACUCAACUUUAUAGGCCUAUAAUCAUCUUAUAUUUAAUUUAUUUGCUCAAUUAAGAAACAUAAUCUCUUAAUAAAUACUCAUGAUUUUAACUCUCCACCUUUUACUAUUUUAUUCCGAUUUAUACUUUUAUUUCUAGAAAAAACUUUAGAAACAUGAAGUACCCAAAAAAAAAAUGGUCAUUAGAUUUUAAGCUAAUAACUUUAGCUAACCCACCCAUUAAAAAUUUCCUGAUUCCGCCCUUGUUAGAGGGCCUUCCUACUUUGUUAACCUUUGUUUAAAUGUGAUUGAUAUAUAAACUUUGUUUAGGGUAUUUUCCAAUUUGGAAGCGUCGAGCUAGGUUAUGUGACAAGGUUGAAUAUAAAAUGUAUCAAAAUGCACCAUAACUUAUCGUUUUUUCCUCCAAAACAGCAAAUCAAAGAGAUGGCCACAUGAUGAACACAAAGUCAAAUUAUAAUACGUACCCAGUUGGGGGCCUUUAUAUGCAAAAGUUUUGAUUUUGUCACACGAUCUAGUCCUGGUUAUGUUGUUUAACAUUUUGAUUUAUGCAUGGCAUGUUACGUCAAGUUAAAGCUUGAUUCGGCCCGCAAUUUGACUCUCUCCUAAUAAUUUCAUAUUUUCUUCCAACGACUUAAUUUAAUAUUUGAUAAUUGAGGGUGCGGACAGGGAAAUAAUGAAGUUAUAAAAAAAAUAAAAAAAGAGAUUCCUAGUCACUCAUUGGUGGUCUAUAGUAAUAUGGGAUCUCGAAUAAUAUCAUGCAUGGUCAUGGAAUUGGUGGCAGGAAGAUUGGAUGAUAUCAUGCAUGGUCAUGGAUGGAAAGUCAUGGUUUUGUUUUCAAUAACAUAUGUGGCUUUGAAGUCUUUACUUUUUCAUAAACUUCCUUGGCUAUUCCUCUAAUCAAGGACCAUGUUAAUUGUGUUUUAUUCAUUUUGAUGGUGGCCCAAAUUUACUUGAACUUUCUAGCUUAUUUAGCUUACCAAUGUUACAUAUCACAUCAACUUUAAUAAAAGCCGAGAGAGAGAGAGAGAGAGAGAGAGAGAGAGAGAGAGAGAGAGAGAGAGAUCAAAGAAAACCCAGCAUUCUAUGAAAGCCAUGAUAAAAUUACGUCAACGUCACCAGGAAGGAAAUUAGCAGAAACAGAAAUACAAUUGCAUGCCUGCAGCCUGUAUGUACUGAAUACAAUAAAUUUACAUCAGCUCCUAUAUCUAUUCUAUGGCGGUGGGCUUGGAUAAACGUGGUUGCUCAUGACCUUGUUGGCGUUUGAAGCAGAAGCUGAAGAAGGCCUAUUAGUAAUAUUAUCUGAAACAAUACCAAAACCAAUGGACAAUUUGAUCAAACAUCAUCCUCUUCACUAACCUCUUCUUUGCCGGGAAGACACUGCCAGCUUUUGGUUUGAACAACCUUUGCUCAUCCUUGGUUUGAUCUUCAGAUGGGCUCAACUUCAGCUCCUUUGGGUGGUGGUGCUCUGUUUUGGGGCAGAGGGGGUCUUCUUCCCCAUCUGGAUUCAAGUGCUUCAACGUCUUCUCUGCAUCUGAACUUUUCUUCAUUGCCAUCUCUCUCUCUCUCUCUCUCUCUCUCAGUAUGUGCUUCCUUCUGUGUUGUGUUUAGGAUGAUUGAGGACGAGUUUAAAUAGAUGAGAAAUGUUUGACCAGCAUUUUAAUAUAAUAUUAUGAUUGAUUGUUUAAUCAAAAUUUCUUUUUUGACGAAAAAGUCCUUCAUAAAAAAUGGAUUAGGUCUUUCAUAUUCAACCCAAUCUCGUCCCUCCUUACUCUUUCCCCCCGUUUUCUUUCAUUCGCAACCAACCCAAACUGCACUGCACUGCAAUGGAACUCCAACCACAGACAAAUUGAACAAAUAUAAGUAAACGAAGAAGGGUACGAACGACCACAGUUUUCUAUCUCUGAUCGAUUAUUAUUUUUGUUGCUGAAAAUAAUGGUUUCGUAUUUUUUUUUUCCUGGUAUAAAAGAUGGAUUUAGGCUAUGGGUCACGAUUUAUGGCUGAAAAUUUCUUACAUCUGUGUUGGAUGAUCUUCCUAUUUUAUUGUAUUAAUUUUGUUCUUCCUUUUUGUCUACUCUUUUUGUUUUUGUUUUGUUUUUUUUUUUUGUUUUUGUCAAUUGUUUUCUAUUUAUUCUCGAAAUGAGAAGGAGGGAGGCAAUAAGGCAAAUUCUAUUUAUUUAUUAUAUUGAAACUAUGAAACAUAACAAAAUUCACAUCGAAAUUAAGUGAUGUGGUAUGUUCAGCUCAGCUGCCAUAUAAGGUGGUAUAAAAUUAUAGAAUAACUUAUGCAGUCCAAAUGCAUGACAUUAAGUUUGUAGCACACAUGUGUCAUCCUUUUCCAAUACUCAGAAGACUUCCACUCAUCCCUUUUUUCCAUGGUAAAAAGGGGCCUAGGCUCCAAAACCAAUCUCCACCGAGGAAAACAUUGCAUGGCAAAAAGUGGGCUCCAUGAAAUUGGGCAAGCUCAAAGGCAAGACUUGCUUGGGCUGCUGCCUGAGCAAAAAAUCACUUGUAUUUCACUAAUCCAAACCGUUUAUUUUGUAGAUACUCAUUCAAAGAUCAUCUCUACAAAAAAUCACUUGAAUCCGAUAUCAUUUGAUUAUUCAAUUGAGUUCUUAAAAUUUUAGUACUUUCUUGAAGCACCGUGUUCAUUGAUUUUAUAGGACACAAUUGGAUAUCGAAACGGUUUCCGAUUUGUCUAAUUUUUUGUAAGGAUGAUCUAUGAAUGAAGACCUUAAAAAUAGAUUGUUUGGAUCGUUGAAAAAAAAUUCAUAGGGUACCCUAAAGGACGUUCCUCAAAUAAAAUUAUUUGAAAGAUCCCUUAAUAGAAGGGGACUAUAUAUAUGUAUCAAAACAUAAUAAUAUGUAUAUUAAUGUAUGUUAUAUAAAAGACUUAAAUUGUAAGAAUCUCAUUUUCAUGUAGUAACAGAUUUAGGAAAUUUUUUAGAAAAAAGGCAAUAUUUAAAUGACUAACGGGAAAGAAUAGGUUUCAUUGAGGCAAAGACUGGGUUUAGAGUGAAGCACCUUUAGGUGGAAAUCUUGGAAUGCCAUCAAAGUCAUAUAGGGAUAAGUUGGACAUUGACUAAAGAUAGAAAAUACAAGGGAUGAGUAACAAGGCUCCCUUGAAGCAUGCAAUUUAGUGACCAAUUUCAAAGGUAGGGAAGGUAAGAAACGAAUAGAAAAGUGAUCAAGAGACACAAUCAAAGUGGCAUUAACAAUUAGGCAAAACAAGAAAAUAAUAAAGCAACUGAUCUUUGUUCGAAAAAAAGGGAAAAAACCAUCAUCGAUUGACUUGUUCAAAAAAAGGAAUUAGGCAAACCAAGAACAUAAUAACGCAACUGAUCUUCGUUCAAAAAAAGGGAAAAAACCUUCAUUGUUUGACUUGUUCCCAAUGCCACUGAAUGAUAAACAUAUACAAACUUUCCCCAGUAUAUAUCUAUUAUUGUUAUAUAUAUAUAUAUAUAUAUAUAUAUAUAUAUAUUAACACAGUCUUUUUCACCUAUUUCUCUAUUUUUUUGGUGGACACAUCAGACUUCCUCCUUGCCCUUACAACCAUAUUUGUGAAUUUUUAAAAUUAUCUAAUUCUACAUAUAAUAUAUUAUCAAGUUUCAAUAGAGUUAAUUCACUUAAUUAAAGCUUGUUCAACUUUCUCUUAGUUUUCUCUUCACCUAUGGUUUGUUUGGGUUCGUGAAAUUUUUUAUUGUGUUCUCUUCACAUAUGGUUUGUUUAGGUUUGUGAAAUUUUGGAUUGUGUUUACUUUGGCAUCUCUCCACAUAUAUACUUUACUGACAGUAAAUUCUUCAUUAUCAUGUAUGUAAUGUGUGUGUAUAUAUAUAUACAAUUAUUCUCUUAUUUGCACGAUAUUAUUAUUGUGCGGAUGCUAUUAUAAAUAAGAAGGAAAGUAUAGAUGGAUAAUAAAAAAAUACAUGAUAUCUGCACGAUAUAAUAACAUCCGAACAUUCACAUAAGAGAAUUUCUGUAUAUAUUUUAUAUUUAUGUCUCUCUUUGAAUGUGUGUUUCCUUCUGUGUUGAUGUGUUUAUGAUGAUUGAGGAAUUGUGUAAAGGCAUCCCCUACGAGUUUAAAUAGAUGAGGGUAAAAAGUAUGAAAAAGUGUUUGGGUACGUACCAAGUUGAUGUAUCUUCAGAGGAUGGAAGACAAGCAAUGGAAUAUUAUUAUCGAUUGUGCAGUUAGAAUUUGAUUUAUUCAAUUUGAACACACACAUGACAUCCUUAGAAGUUAAUGGAUAUAGGAAAAAUUAUAUAUAAAAAAUGUACAUAUUUUCAACAAUUAAAAUUAAUUUAAAAUUGAAAAAGGAGAAGAAAAAAAGAAUGUCAUAUAUUCCUUGAUUCGGCCCCUCAACUUUAACCACACCGCCCAUCUCUCAACUUUAAGUAUCGUACCAGGGGUUGGUUGCUUCUUCCAUAUGAGGCAGUUGGGGUGAAUUAGACACACAGUCCAAUUUAGCAUCUAAUCAAAAUGACACAUCACUUUCUGUGUCCUUGUGAUCCCAUGUGAACAUCCCGCGAACAACGCAAGUCCCUUCAGCCAUAGAUUACAGUGACGCAUUCGACCAUUUGCCAACCUUCCAAGUCUCUAGAAAAUUAAAUUAUGUGCGUCUCUAGUCUCUAAAUUUAAAUCUGAGAUAUGUGAAACUCACAUAUGGGUUACGUAAGCAUAUUAACAUAUUUAGGGAAGUAAAGUCACAUCAUGAACUACUUGUGAUCACGUAUAUUAACUCUAGAAAAAUGCUUACUUCAUUUUUUAAAAUGUCAAUCACAGUUUGACAUGUGUGUAAAGAUUUUAUUUUAUUUUAUUUUUGUGUUUUUGAUGAAUUAUUUUUGCGUAUGUGCUAAACUGUGAUUUGCAAGAGAUAUGAAUGUCUCAUUCCCAGAAAAGAAGGAAGCAAUGUUAUUAACCUUAAGGACCGUAAAUAAUAUUAUUUAAAAAAAUACGCAAUCUGAUAGUUACAUCAAUUUCAGAGACGUUUUGUAAUAAAAAUACGAAGGACUUAGAAUGUUAUUGAUUGUGGUGUGUAACAUGUUUGGUGAAUAAAAUGACCUAAAGAAAGCUCAUUUAAAUGAUAGGUGCUGAAGAAUUCUCUAAUCAAUAUUGCCGCUUGAAGCUUUUCUUGCGAGUGACGUCGUGAUCUCACAAUACCAACCUUUCUCAGAAGUAAAUGUAAUUUAUUGUUUCAAUUGACUGAGGAAGGAGUUUGCUGAAUUCGUUAGUAGAUAUUAGAAAACAAAAAAGUUUUGAAAAGAGUCGCUGAUGGAUUUCAGUUUAUCUUUUUGGGUUUAGAAGUUUGUUAAUCCGUAAACAUGUGUUUUCAUGUUGCAGCAAGGAGUGGAAAGAACUUCUACAUUUGGAACCCCCUAAUUAGAGAAUCCAUAAGCCCUCCAAUACUCCCAAGAAAGAAUGGAAAUAGUUGGAAAAGGUGGAAAUAGUGGAAAGGAGUGUCACAGCAAGGCAGGCAUUGUGGUCAAUGACCAAGAAAGAAUGUCGAUCAAGUUAUGUCAUCCGUUUUUCGACACUAGAGUUGGGUGUCUCAUACAAGAGAGCCAGGAACAUGAGAUACAAAAGAGGGAUGAAGAUGAGAGACCAUUAAGGUUGGGUUUGUGGUCUUCUUUGAUUGUAUUUUGUUCUACACUUUAUAUGUUGUUUUCGUUGAGGAAUUUAUUGUUUCCUCUUAUAAUUGCAAUUUUAAUCAUUGGAUUCUUUUUGUUUAGAUGAUUUCUUAUGCGCUUGAUUACCUAAAUGUGCUUCAUUAGUUUGUUGGCUAAUAAAAUGUGUAAUUUAUCUAUACCUAGUAACCAUUUUCAUUUUCUCAAAAUGCACUGACCUCCAAGAAAGAAACCAAGAAGUUCAUCAAAUUUUCCAAUUCUGGUUAGUCCUCAUAAACUUUGUUGCAUGCAUAUUAAUUUUAAGGUAUGCUUGUCCUUGUAGUUCUUUUCCUUGAUAACAUUCUCAAAUAAAUCCCUAGUUUAUGUUCUUUUUUUCCUAUUUUUUUCUUCUCUAAUUUCCAUUCGACUGUAAUUAAAUUGGGAAGCCCAUAUGUGUAAAUAACAUGUUUGAAUUCUGAACUAGCUUUCAAUUUCUGGAUGUGUUUCUACAUAGGCAUGAUUCUUUUUUUUAGUUUCCAUUCGACUGCUAUACAGGAAAUUAAGAUGUAAAUAAGAAGUUUGAAUUUUUGCCUCACUAUCAUAUUCUUAGUAUGUUUCUACAAAGACAUGACACUAUUCCAUUGAUUUUUACUUAAUUUUAUGUAUGUGUAGUCCUUUGAUGUAGAACAAAUCAUGGGUUUGUUCCUACGAAAGAAAUAUGGAAAAAGGAGAAAAUUCAAAAUCAGAAAAUUGGGCUUCAAAUAUGGAAAAUCAUGCUUGAGCAUCAAUUAUGGUGCUAGGAAAAGAAAGAAAGAAAGACCUACUACGUUUGGAACCCCCUAAUUGAAGAACCCAUAAGCCUCCAGUACUCCCAAGUCACUAUAAGCCACAAUCCGUUGGAUUCGAGUUUGGUAAUAUUUUGAAAUUGUAUAAACUACUCCUCAUUAUGUCCAUAAAGAAGCUCCUUAUUAUUUUCAGGUUUGGAGUGGAUACAGAAUGGAGAAAAGUGGUGAGUGAAAAUAAUGGUGAAGCGGAAGGAUAAACAAUUCGGGGUUUACCUUAAUAGUCAACUUCAUUGGAUUGGAACAACAGGUGGACACAACAUAGAUGUGAUUUGUACCUUUAAUCUGCGCUAUGAAUUACAUGAAGAGUCACACAAGUACGUGGCGUGAUUUUCUUCUGGCGGUUUUGAAUCCUCAUACAAAACCAAUUAGCAGCUUCAAUUUACAAGAAAUUUGUACAAAUAUUGAAGUAUAUUUAUGUAAUGAACAAUAUUUAUGAUAUAAUGAACAGAUGAGUUCACUAGGCUCAAGUUCCUUAGCGGUGUCGUCUAUUUGUUCGUUCAGCUCUCUUCAUUAUGUUUGACGAGUGAUAGGUUUCUCAUCCUAUAAUGAAGGGAACUGAACAAGAAAAUGGAAGACAUCGUUGGAGGAUCCUCAUCCUAUGCAAGGAAUGUGCUUAGAUUUUAUACAAGUUUAAAUCUCAAUGUCGAUGCAGACAUUCUUAUUUCAUUAGUGGACCAAGAUGAGAUGAGUAUAAUUCGUAAAAAGAAUUUUGAGGUGAGAUUUGGAACAAAAAUAGAGAAAGUGCCAAAGUUUCAUUUACUGUACAUGCAAGAUGAAAAGUCUAAACAAAAUGUAGUAAAAGAUAGCUAAUUCAUCGAGAAAUUUUCCAUAACUUGUUUGGCUUUUAUUUUAUUAGAAAAAUUAUCAAGUUCUUAUUUUAUGUUCUUACUUUUGAUGCCUCGGGACGUAACAGCCACCCGUAUCUGGGAUUUCAAGCCUAUCAUGACGUUAAGAAUUUCAUCCACUCUGGGGUUAAUUAUUUUCCUUCUUUAAUAAAGUAUUUAGCUAUAUAUUUCUAAAAAACUAAAAAAUAUUUAGCUAAAUGAACUAUAUUGAUAAUUAACCAUGGUGGAAAGUUUUGCAGCACUUUUCGGCAGCAACAAAGAGAAGAAACUUUUACUUCUAUUCGGACGGCCGGAGUACGUCACUGACACUGAGGGAUUUUGCAUCAUUCCCCGUUGCAAAAUUCAAUUUCUGUAAUUCAUUUGUAGUCUAUAAAGCAAUCAUACUAUUUAUUUUUAAAAAAUUUAAAUAACUCUAACGUUUUAUCUUCCUUAAUUACAGUGGGCAUAACGUUGGCACAUGAGAUAAUGCAUGCAUGGUUGAGGCUUCAAGGUAUGAAUAUGGAUUUAGGCUUUAUUAUUCACUACAAAUAAUUUGCAUGAAAAAAAUAAUAAGUUUUAAACUUAUGCCUACCCUCAAGAGUGCUUUAAAUUUUUGUUGGUCUAAUAGGUUUUUGUAUAAUAUUGUAUGAAACUCUCUAUUUCUGUGUUCUUAUUUUUCCUCAAUAAUGAGUUCUUUUUGUAGGUAUAAUUGGUGAUAGGAAACCGGAAAGAUUGGUAGAAGAAGGUAUUUCUCAAGUAAUGUCAUACAUGUACCGGAAAUGGUUUUGUUCUAGAGGUUUUAAGUACUCCUCAUUCAACAAAAUCAAUGAGCAACUUUAGUUUACAAAAGAUUUGAAUAAAUGUUUUGCAAAUCUUACGAAAAUUGAUUCAGAUGAAGCUUAUCGUGAAGGGUUUAAGCAAAAUAUGCAUGCUGUGAAAGAAAAUGACUUCAAAAAGACAUUGGAUUGCAUCGUUUAAAAAAGACGUUUGGUACCUAAGAUGGAAGAAGAUGAAGAUAAUUGUAAAGAUGCAAAAGGAAGUCUCACACUACACAAAAAUAACGCGGCACGCCGGCACCACGAGGGCUACGGUGGGCUAUAGCCUAAUGAGGUCUUUGGGUUAAAAAUAAAAAUAAAACCUAUAUAUUUGCCUUCUUUUAAUAUUGUCCAGAUAUUAUAUAUUAAGAGAUGGCAAUGUUAAUUUUAAAUCGGUGUUAGUAAUUUCUUCCUUAGCUAAAGCGUGCUUGGUAUGUUCCUUGGAAUUAAUUAACUUAAUAUUACAAUUUCUCCUUUGAUAUGACAUUUUUGUAAUUAACAAUGUCUAUGACCAUUUUUGUAAUUAAAUCAGACCCCAGCAAAAGAAAACAGAUAAUAUAUCACAGGGUUACAGAAAAUUACAUUUUUCAUAUCACAUGUAUAAGACUGAUAAGCUAUAUAUGGUGGGCUUGGGUAGAUGUGGUUGCUGAUGAUGAACACAAUCUUCUUCUUCUUGGCGUCUGGUGCUUUAGGCUUCUGGUUGGUUUUGAAAACAGAACAGAAAAACCUGGUUGGUUUGAGCCUUCUUUGAGAGUUAAAUAAUCGAACAAAGAAGUGGGAUAUAUCUGGAAAAAAAGAAAAAAGAAAAAAGAAUCAGAUUCUGUGGAAGCCAUUAACAAGAAUGCAUGAAAGAAAGUGACUAAGCUGAAGGAGAUGCCAGGAAAGUAUUUGACAAGAUGAACCCUUGUUUACUCGGUAAGUCACGGUGCAAACAAUUUGUUUUGUAUAUUUCGGUUAACGGGUGAAUUUGUACUAAAGAAAUUAAGGCAUAAUCACACACAUAACACAGGUGUUUGAGUGAUUCACCCAUAAUGGGGCUACAUCCACUAUAGUUUAUGGCUUUGUAUUUGUAUUUGAAUAGGAGAUUACAUUGUACAUAAGAGAGAUAUGGGGAGAAAGACUUGAGAGCUCUAGUAGAAGAGAAAUAGGGAGCUUGAGAUAGCUUUGGACAGCUCUUGGAGAUGGGAAUGGUCCCAUGAAACAACUUGAUUUCCAAAAUAACGCGGCACGCCGGCACCACGAGGGCUACGGUGGGCUAUAGCCUAAUGAGGUCUUUGGGUUAAAAAUAAAAAUAAAACCUAUAUAUUUGCCUUCUUUUAAUAUUGUCCAGAUAUUAUAUAUUAAGAGAUGGCAAUGUUAAUUUUAAAUCGGUGUUAGUAAUUUCUUCCUUAGCUAAAGCGUGCUUGGUAUGUUCCUUGGAAUUAAUUAACUUAAUAUUACAAUUUCUCCUUUGAUAUGACAUUUUUGUAAUUAACCCUAAACCCUAAACCCUAAACCCUUUUAAUUUCCCUGGAAACAACUUGAGCCUUGAACUAAAUAACAGAACCUUUUGCCCUGGCUGAAAUUCCUUCCGUAAAAUUUGACUGUCAUGAAAUGCCUUAGUUCUUUCCUUGUAGAUGCGAGAACUAUCAUAAGCACCUUGACGAAUUUCCUCUAGCUCAUUUAACUGCAAUUUCCGCUUUUCCCCAGCUGAGUCAUAUGCAAAAUUUAACUCUUUAAUGGCCCAGUAAGCUUUAUGCUCCAGCUCCAUAGGUAGAUGACAGGCUUUCCCAUAAACAAGUCGGAAUGGUGACAUCCCAAUAGGAGUUUUAUAAGCUGUCCUGUAUGCCCACAAAGCAUCAUUUAGUUUGAAACUCCAAUCCUUGCGUGUAGAGCUCACUGUUUUCUCCAAAAUACGCUUUAUUUCUCUGUUUGAAACUUCAACUUGGCCAGAUGUCUGUGGGUGGUAUGGUGUAGCCACGCGAUGAUGAAUCCCAUAUUUUGCCAAUAGGUUAGCAAAUGGUUUAUUAAUAAAAUGCUUCCCCCCAUCACUAAGAAUAACACGCGGUAUUCCAAAACGUGGAAAUAUAACCCCCUGGAGGAACUUCAGGACCACUGAUCCUUGAUUAGUUGGUGCUGCAAUGGCCUCGACCCAUUUUGAAACAUAUUCCACAGCCACUAAAAUAUAUUGGUGCCCAUUAGAAGAUGGGAAUGGUCCCAUGAAAUCAAUACCCCAAACAUCAAAUAGUUCAACAAUUAGGAUACUUUGCUGGGGCAUCUCAUUCCUUCUGGAUUGAUUGCCGACCCUUUGACACCUAUCACAUGCCUUGCACCAAUUCCGUGAAUCUCUAAAAAGUGUUGGCCAAAAUAACCCACUCUGUAGGAUUUUCUCUGCUGUCCUUUUCUGCCCAAAAUGUCCUCCACAAGCGUAGUGAUGAGCAAACUUUAAAACACUUUCCUGUUCAACCUCCGGAAUACACCUGCGAAUAAUCUGGUCUGCACAAUACUUGUAUAAGUACGGUUCAUCCCAGAAAUAGUGCUUUACAUCAAAUAAAAACUUCUUUUUCUGCUGGUAGGAAAAAUCUGGAUGCACCACACCCUUAGCCAAAUAAUUGACAAUAUCUGCAAACCAAGGUGUGUCAAUUUUGACAGCAAAUAGCUGUUCAUCUGGGAAACUUUCACUCAAUGGUAGAGAAUCUGCCUCUGUAGCUGCUGGAAUAAUUAAUCUAGAUAAAUGAUCAGCCACAACAUUCUCACUGCCCUUCUUGUCUUUAAUCUCUAAGUCAAAUUCUUGAAGUAAGAGAACCCAACGAAUCAAUCUAGGCUUUGCAUCCUUCUUAGACAACAAGUAUUUAAGUGCAGCAUGAUCUGUAUAGACAAUUAUUUUAGCCCCAACCAAAUAAGACCGAAAUUUCUCUAGUGCGAACACAACUGCCAACAAUUCCUUCUCUGUAGUUGCAUAGUUAAGCUGUGCAUCAUUGAGAGUACGACUUGCAUAAUAGAUGACAUGGGGAAGCUUAUCUUUUCGCUGUCCUAAAACUGCCCCGACAGCAUAAUCUGACGCAUCACACAUUAGUUCAAAUGGUAAAUCCCAAUUUGGUGCAGCAAUGAUGGGUGCCGAAGUUAGGAGGGCUUUCAACUUGUUGAAUGCUUCUAAACAGGCCUUAUCAAAAUUAAAUGGUGCAUCCUUAGCCAAUAAAGUGCACAAAGGUCGACUAAUCUUGGAGAAAUCCUUGAUGAACCGACGAUAAAAACCUGCGUGUCCUAAGAAGGAUCUCACACCUUUUACUGAUGUAGGAGGUGGCAGCUUUGCAAUAACUUCAAUCUUUGCCUUGUCAACCUCGAUGCCUUUGCUAGAAAUUGAAUGACCCAAGACAAUUCCUUGUUCAACCAUGAAAUGACACUUUUCCCAGUUUAGCACUAAAUUCGUCGCUUGACAUCUCUGAAGAACUAAUGAUAAAUUCUGUAAGCACUGAUCAUAUGAAUCCCCAAAAACAGAAAAAUCAUCCAUAAAAACUUCCACAAUAUUUUCGACCAAGCCAGAAAAAAUACUCAUCAUACAACGUUGAAACGUAGCAGGUGCAUUGCAUAAUCCGAAUGGCAUCCUCCGAUAAGCAUAAGUACCGAAUGGACAAGUGAAAGUAGUCUUCUCUUGAUCCUCUGGUGCGAUUGGAAUCUGAUUAUACCCAGAAUACCCAUCAAGAAAACAGUAAAAAGCCCGACCAGCCAACCUUUCUAACAUCUGGUCAAUAAAAGGCAAUGGAAAAUGGUCUUUUCUCGUCCCUGCGUUAAGCUUCCGGUAAUCUACACACAUUCUCCAACCCGUAGUCAAUCGUGUAGGAACUAACUCAUUAUUAUCAUUUUUCACCACUGUAAUACCGGUUCGUUUAGGCACAACUUGAGUCGGGCUAACCCAUUUACUGUCAGAAAUAGGAUAAAUCAUACCUGCAUCAAGUAAUUUCAUAACCUCUGUUCUGACCACCUCUUUCAUAAUUGGGUUAAGGCGGCGUUGAGCAUCAACUGUUGGCUUUACGUCGUCUUCCAUUAAUAUUCUGUGCAUACAUAGUGCUGGGCUGAUUCCCUUGAUGUCCGCAAUUGUCCAUCCCAAUGCAUCUUGAUAUUUUCUCAAUACACGAAGCAAUUUAUCCUCCUCUGUCGGUGUUAAAUCUGCUGCAAUUAUAACUGGCAGCGUCUCUGCAGCUCCUAAAUAUGCAUAUUUAAGAUGUUGUGGUAAAGGCUUCAGCUCCAAUUUUGGUGGCUGUUGUCUGGAUGGUUUAAGGGGCUGUUUGGGCUCUCCUAAACUCUCAUACACAUUCCUAAAUUUUGGCAACACUGUGGGCAGACUGUUCAAUGCGUGUAUGUACUCAUGAACACCUUCAUCUUCGGAAUCUGUCUCAAGUUCCCCCUGUAAAACAUGCAGCAACUGAUCUGUUUUUGAAUUAGCACAAAAUCUGUCAUGCACCAUACUGUCUACCAUGUCAAUACGCAUACAAUCCUGCUGUUCAGCAGGACGUUUUGCUGCCUCAAACAAAUUAAACACCACAGAUUGGUCUUGAACCCGUAAAGUCAAUGUUCCAGCUUCCACAUCAAUUAAGGUCCUAGCUGUUGCCAUAAACGGCCUCCCUAAAAUAAUAGGUGUUUGAAGGUCUUCAUCCAUGUCUAAAACCACAAAAUCUGCCGGUAGAUAAAGAUCAUCAACCUUAAUAAUUAGAUCUUCAAUAACACCUCUUGGAUAAGUGAUUGAACGGUCAGCUAGUUGAAGUAUAAUUGAUGUAGGCUUUAAAUCUCCUUGCCCCAAUCGCUGAAAAACAGAAAAAGGCAUCAAAUUAAUACUUGCACCCAAAUCAAUUAAAGCACUUUUAAAAUUAGAAUUUCCAAUAGUGCAAGAAAUAUUAAAACUCCCUGGAUCUUUUUUCUUAGGUGGUAGUUUGUGUAGCAAAACUGCACUGCACUGUUCUGUCAAAAUAACUUUUUCCAAAUCUGAAAGCUUCUUUUUGCUGCUGCAAACUUCCUUCAAAAAUUUGGCAUAUGAUGGAAUUUUCUUGAUUGCAUCCAGUAAGGGAAUGUUGAUUUGAACCUUGGAUAAUGUCUGCAUAAAGUCCUUAAGUUGCUGAUCUUUUGCUUUAGGCUUCAAACGUUCUGGAUAUGGAAUUGGGGCCUCAUAAACACGCUCAGGAACUUGUUUUGGAACAGUUUCUAGAUCUGCCGAAUUAUGUUUUUCUGCAGGUUUGGCAGGUUCUGCUGCUGCAAAAUUUUCUGUAUUAUCUUCCACUAUUUGCUGCUCCUUUUCAAUGCUAUUUUCACGAUUGUCAUAGCUUUUUCCACAUCGUAAAGUCCGAACAACUUUGCAAUCUUCACGUCCAUUUGGAUUAGGAAUUGUUUGACUAGGAAAUUUGCCCUUUUCUCUGUUUGAAAUCUGUGUAGCUAGCUGUCCAAAUUGUUGCUCCAAACUUUUAAUUGAUGCUUCAACAUUUUGAAAUCUUUGAUUGUUGCCCUCGAUGAAUGAUUGAGUUGUUGCUGCCAGUUUAGCAAGUUGAUCUUCCAGAGAUGGUUUGGAGGGAACAAAAGGUUUUUGUGCAUGCUGGAAUGGUUUGGCAUUAGUCUGAUUGUCACCCCAUUUGAAAUUAGGGUGAUCCCUCCAUCCAGGAUUGUAAUGAGUUUCAUAUGCAUCAUUCCUAGGCCUUUGAUAGCUGUUCAUCAUAUUGACAUGUUGUUCAACAAGCUCUGGGUAAGAGUCUCUAUGUGGGCAGCCCAUUAUGUCAUGUGUAGCCAUACUGCAUAUAGUGCAAACUGUUGAUGUAGGUGGCUGCUGUGUAGAACCUGCUAUAUGUUGUAGAAGCAUAUCAAACUUUGCAUCAAUUUUCUUAUCCAUUUUUUCCAUUUGUGCAGACAUGUUGGGAGAACCUACUGAUAACUCAAAAAUGCCCCUUUUCUGUGAAUGUUCUGCUGCCCAUUGCUGAGAUUCUGUAGCCAUCAUAUCAAACAGUUCAAAUGCCUCUCUUGCAGAUUUAUUUGAUAAUGAUCCUCCAGCUGAUGCAUUCACAUGGCUCUUAGAUGUAGGAUUAAGCCCAUCAAAGAAAAUAUUCAUUUGUGUAUUUGAAUCAAUUUUGACAUGUGGACACUUUAUGUACAUCUCUGUAUAUCUCUCCCACGCUUCAUGAAACUCUUCAUUGGGCUUCUGUGUGAAUGUCAAAAUCUCCCUUUUGUAAUUCAAUGUCUUGGAUGCUGGAUAAUAUUUGUUCAGGAAUUUUGUGUGUAACUGCUGCCAAGUAGUAAUGCUAUUAGCUGGUAGAGUGAAUAACCAAGUUUCUGCCUUGUCCUUCAAAGUGAAAGGGAAAAGACGUAACUUAAUAGCCUCAGCAGAAAAACCCCUAAUCAAAAUAUUCUUGCAACCCACAAUAAAUUUUGCAAUAUGUAUGUUUGCAUCUUCAUUAGGCAAUCCCCGAAAAGUAGGUAGAAUUUCAAGCAUAUGGUGCCUGAUCUCGAACGAAUCACCCUCUUCUUGUUCAGGAUACACAAUGCAAUUGGGAACAUCAGUGGCACGGGCUUCCAAUGACUCCCUGAGUGGUCUACCUGCCGUAGGUAAUUCUAACGCCAUGUUACUCUCGUUUGCAAACAAAUUCUGCAAAAAAGUGCCCUGCAGUGAACAGUCCCAAGCCCAAAUAACUUCUCUUCGCUGUCUAUGCAGUGUGCGCUCUGGUUCUGGAUCAAAUUGUACAAUCUGUGCAGUUCCUGAUCUGGUCUGGACCAUGCAGUCUGCAAAAUCUGCAACAGAAACAAAAUUGUUCAAUUUCAAUUUUGUAUUUUAUUUUUUAUUUUGGACGAAAAUUAAAAAGUAAAAUAAAAUAAAAUAAAAUAAAUCAGAAAAAGGUUAAACAAAAAUUGUCUAAAAUAGUCCCCGGCAGCGGCGCCAAUUUCUUGAUAGGAUUUUUAGUACUUGUGCAAACAGUGUUAAAAAUCACAUAAAAUACUUGCAAGAAUACAAGGCUAUUGUAGUAUAGAUGCUCAUGCAAGGUCGUUUUCCUCAAGGACUAAUUAGCAAUUUAUGUAAAAACAAAUUCCAAUUACUACUUAAAAUAAAAAGUCAAGAAAGAUGAUUAUAAAUUUGGUGGAUUCUAAAAAACAAAUAUUAAACAAAAACAAAUACGAUUGAGAGAAAGAGUUUUGAAUAUCAAUUUAUAAAAACACUAGGGUUUCACCAUCACCUAGCAAUCCUAUGAACUUUUACCAAUUACUUAUGAUUUGCACAUGCCACUUUGAAGGUUAGGUUUUCCUAAUGUAUAUUCUACUUGGAACCUCCAACACAGAACGUAUAUCCAACAUGCAACCCGUCCGGACGUUCGGAUCAAAUCUGAACAUGAAAGACUCAUUAAGUUUUGUGAAAACCCUUUGAAAAACCAUGCAACCCUUAAGACGUGGUGUUCAUCUUAAGUGAAAUUACAAUUAUUAAUCACAAGAAGCUAGCAUCAAUUUCAGGGAACCUUCCGACCAAAAUUGCAUCCAAUUACUUUUCUAAAGAUCCUAAUGGUGAUCAGGCAUUAAGACAAUUAGAUAGUUUAAAACAGUGAUUAACAAUUCAAAAUACGCAUGCACUCAUCAUAAGCAAUUAAAUAAAAAUCACAUAUUCAUGCUAAGGUUCAAGGCUUCACCCUAGCAAAAGAAAUUUAGUUACGCAUACUCAUAAUUGAAAUCCAAGAAAAUAUCAUUAAGAAGAAAAGAACGAAAACACCUGAAAGUUGUGAAAACCCAAAACCCUAGCAAUUGCUCUCCACAAUGCAAAGUUCAAAAGUGAAAAGGGAGUCCUUCAAUUCCUCGUGAGAAAGAGCUUAAAUACCCCUUAAAACCUAGCUGCCAAUGUACAGCUUUUCUAUCCCCACAAGGAAACUAAUUAAAGUAAAAUAAUACUAGGAAAUAAAGUCCAAAUUGGAAUAGGAGAAUUUGCCUAAAAUCUGCCCAGCCACGUUUUGGCCCCAAAUCUCCUCCAAAUCUGGCCCAAGAUAGCUUGUUUUAAAGAUAAAAAUGUUCUGAACACUUCUCUAGAAGGCCACGAACCCAUUCGAGGUCAUCUUGGGCUUCAAAAACGCAAUAAAAGCCCAACACGUCACUAUUCCAGCACCGCGCACUGCUCAUUUAUUUUAUUGCCCGAAAAUAACCGCUUGGAAGAAAGAUCUGAAAUUUUGAUACGAUCAAGCUAAGUGACUCAAGAACGUCCUCCAACUGGAAUUACUCCAAAAUUCCUCAAUUUGAUUAUGUUUUGCUCCAGAGAGAGUCGAAAGUCCUAUAUUGAAAAUAUAAUUCAAAGUAUCAAAAUUCUUCCAAAAUAUUAACCAAAAUAUACUAAGAAUGAGGUUAAUAUAUAAUAUAAAAUAUGUCCAUCAUAGUCCAAGUAGUGGUAGGGAACGCAUGACUCUCCUUGAUUUGGGGAUUCUACAUGGCCUCCCCCUGCUUUGGGGGGCGUGGACAUUGAGAAGGCAUGGGAGGGGGCAUGGCUAGCUACUCCUCUUUUGGUAGGAUGUGAGGUAUGACUGAUAACAAUAUUAGUUAGUUUAUAUUCAGUUAAAUUGUCACGUGUGUGCUUACGUAUUGUUAGUUAGUAUUAACUGUAAUUAGUUAGACUGUUAAGUUUUAAUUAUUGAGAUAUUAAACAUUGAUGACACUACGAUUGUAAAUAUUUUUGUGAAAUCAGUAUACAGAUAAGGGCGGAAUUAGGAAUUUUUUAAUGGAUGGGCUAGCUAAAGUUAUUAGCUUAAAAUUUAAUGAUUAUUUUUUUUGGUACUUAAAAUUUCUAUAGUCUUUGUGGAAAUAAAAGUAAACAUUAAAUCAUAUAAACCAAGCUAGUUCAUAGCUCCAUAGAUUAAUUUUCAAUAAGUUUUAACAUAAACCAAAUAUGGUUUAACACCAUAGUGGAUUGAAUAUCUAAGGCUUUUUACCUCAAUUGACCUCAGGUUCCUUUAUGCAUUCAUAUCAUACAUGAAAAAUUGGUUUAUGUAAAAAUAUUGAUUAAGUAUGAAAAAUGGGUUUUCAGAAUAAUCAUUUUCUCAAGAUAAUUUUUUGCGGCUUUUAUUCCUCACACAUCAAAUAAGAAAACUUGAUUUUAUGGGAUUUUAAUAUGAAGUAUAUAUUGACUUAAUGAGCCAUCAUUUUUAGCGUAAAUAGUAUUUUGCACUAAAAUCGAUUUUUCAUAUUUUGAUUUGGUGGGAAUUUGAUUUUCUAGUAUUUUUAUUUGAAUCCAAAUGGGGAGUACUUCCUUAUUUACAUUGUAAACUUAAGUAAAUGGAGUAAUAUAAAAAUAAAUAAAAUUAAAAUGACAAAGACAAGCUUAGUAUGGUUCCGCCCUUGUAUACGGAGCAUAUCAUUUUCUUUUGAAUCUUCUUCUUCUUUCUUAGCUUUCUUAAUUCUUAAGCUUCUUCUUCUAAACUGUUAACAAUAACAAGCAAGGGUUAUCCCUUAACUGGUGGGAUUUGUUUAAGGAGAAAGGUGAGGUCAACAUGGUGUCAACAAUUUCUUUCUUGAGGAAAUAUAUAUAGAUAUAGGAAUUUGGUCCCAGUAUAUCUAUAUAUAUAGAUUGUCAAUCACAGUUUUGUCAUUCACAUGAACACGGAACUAGCAAUAUUUUCACACAAGAUCAUUUUGGAAUGUGGUCCUUGUAUAAUGUUCAUUCCUCAGUUAGUUAAGCAGAGAUUUCAGUGGCUUUGACAUCGGCUGUUUUCAUCAAGUGGGCACAAGAGCAAACAAAAACUCACACACCACAGAAAGCAACAAACGAGUAAUCCCACUAAAAUCAAAGAUGCAGACUUUGCCGAGGUUUUUCCUAAAAGAAAGAAAAAGAAAAUGAAGGCCAGGGCAGGGGCAGUCAACAGAGAAAGCGACUAAUGAGAGUGAGGCUCUUCGAAAUCAAAUGGGUAUGUGCAGAGGCCAUCAUGACAGGGAAUAUUCGACGAGGAAGAUGGAGGCCUUUCCGAUUUUCUUGAAGCUUCGUGUAAAUAUGUCGUAACCUGAGAAAGAGAAGGUGCUAAAUUAUAAUUGUAAGUAUGUGCAUUACAAAUGGGUUUGGUGUGUAAUGGUAGGUACGUGCUUAAUUGCUCUUCUUUGUUGGUGGUUGUGUUUGGUGUCUUAGGCCUUCGACCCAACUCUAAGAGCACUUCUACCCGUGUAGGUCAUCCUCCAAAAACCAAUUCUAGUGGUGAAGGUCAGUUCGGGCAAGAAAUGGGCUCCAUCAACCUGGGUUAUUGCUUGGGUUUGUUGAUGUCAGCAUGAUAUUAGAGACCAAUUAAAAUAUCCAAAAAAAUUAUAAAAAUAUCAAAUAAUUUUUUAAAAAUACCAAAAAAUUCAGAAUUUUUUAUUAUUUAUAAAUACCUAGCCAUGUUCUUCACUUCCCACACCAAAACUUCAUACAAAUUUCUCUCCUCAUAUCUCAUGUGAAUAGUGUUUGCAAAAUAAAAACAGGUAGGGCAGUCACUAUUCACAUAAAUAGUGUCUACCCAUACUUGCCCUUACCCUUUGUUGUGGCACCAUGAGUAAAAGUACUCUAAACUUAAGCCUAGAAGCAAUGAGACAACCCUUAACUCUAUCCACCAAGCUAAGCUGGUACCCGAUAAUUAAAGUGCUUAUGUCAACGAGGUCUAGCUAAAUAUAAAAAAGAUCUUGACGUGCAAACCAGUGAUCUCAUAUUAUUAUUAUUUUUUGAAAAAAAACUCGGGAUUUUGUUUUAAAGGAAAACAUAAUUUUAUCAAGUUAAGAGGCUUUUACCCUUUUCUGCCUCUCUAACAUGAGUGACGGUGAGCAAGCCAAUGCGGAUUAGCAAAUUAAUAUUUCAAUGUACCAUCCAUCCAUGCAUAUUGCAUGCCAUGGAUAUUGGGGGUGGGACCCUCUGAACAUCAUCCCUAGGGAAAGAAGAUGGAAAUUUAAGUUAUAAAAAGUGUUUCCUAGGCACUAACUAAUUGGUGACUAAUGACCAAUUGGUUAUAGUUUACGAUGUGACACUGAUUUGGUAAUAAUAUGGGAUUUUCUUUUGAAUAAUAUAAAGACCAAACCGAUUCAUGAAUCUGCUGCCAGGAAGAUCGGAUUGGAACCCCUGGAAAUAGUAAAAGUAAUAUUUAUUUAUUGUAAAGCAAUUUGUGAUGGAUGGAAGGUCAUGGUUUUCAACAACAUAUCCAUAUUUUCAUUUGGUGGCUAAGCAUCUCUAAGUAUUUUGGGGUUCAAACUUUUCUGUCUAGUCUUUAAGACUUGAAUUGAAGCCUUACUAUUUCCAGUUGUAAAAUGGUGGUCUUCGCCAAUUCCACAACUUUUUCAUCAACUUUUGUAAUGAACUUCCUAGGCUAUUCCUCUAGGGCGCUAAUUAAGUAGAAAAAUUUGUGUGAAAAAAUUACCAUAUGGCAUACCGAAAUUGGCCAAUGAUAAUUCGACAUUAGCAGCGGAGUUCCCUGUUUUGUUCAUUUUGAUUUUUUUGAUAAGAUUUUGUUCAUUUUGAUGGUGUCCCAAGUUCACUCCAAUUUAUAGCUUAUUAGCUUACCAAUUUUGCAUAUCAUAUCAACUUUAAUACUAAAUCAGGAAAAAAAGAAACCAUGAGUUUUUUGGCCGAUCCAUAAUAAAUAAAUAUGAAAGAGCGACCCAACCCAACCCGCAAACAAACCCCACAAAUACACAUCUGCAAAAUACGUAUACAUAAACAGUAACAAAGAUACAAAAUUCUGCUUUUCAAGCUCACAGAGAGAGAGAGAGAGAGAGAGAGAGAGAGAGAGAGAGAGAGAGAGAGAGAGAGAGAGAGAGAGAGAGAGAGAGAUUCAGAUAGAAAAAGAAAACCCAGCAUUCUAUGAAAGCCAUGAAAAGUUUACAUCAACAUCACCAUGAAAUUAGCAUAUUCACAUAUGCCAUCCCAUCAGAACAAAACUCUGCUUUUCAAGCUCAGAGCUUAUCUGGAUUUCUUUGCGAAAAGGGGGGUUAUUAUGAAACUCCGGAUUAAUCAUAAGCUGCUAUGAAUCUAAUGAAAAGCACUGAGAGAGAGAGCAAAGAAAACCCAGAAUUCUAUAAUAAUAAAAAGCUAUGAAAAGUUUACAUCAAUCAAAAUCACCAAGAAAUUAGCAGAAGCAGAUAAGCAACGGCAUGGCUGUGUGUACUAAAAAUAGUAAAACACCAGCUCUUCUAUCCAUAAGCAUAUAUGCUAUGGUAAUGCUGGUGGGCAUGGGUAAACGUGGCUGCUGAUGAUGACCUUGUUGGCGUUUGAUGAUGUGGUGGUUUCAGAGACUCCAGCAGAAGCUGAAGGACUAUUAGUAUCAUCGGAAACAGAGCAAAAGCAUUGGACAAUUUGAUCAAAUAUCAUCCUCUUCACUAACCUCUUCUUCACUGGGAAGACACUCCCAGCUUUUGGUUUGAACAAACAUGGCUCAGCCUUGCUUUGAUCUUGAGAUGAGCUCAACUUCAGCUUCAUGGGCUCCUUUGGGUGGUGCUCUGUUUUGGGGCAGAGGAGGUCAUCUUCCCCAUCUGGCUUCAAGCACUUCCUUGCAUCUGAAGUUUCCUUCAUUGCCAUGUAUGUAAUCUCUCUCUCUCUCUCUCUCUCUCUCUCUCUCUCUAAGUGUGUGCUACUUCCUUUCCUCUGUGGUUAUGAGGAAUUGUGUGAAGCCGUGCCCUACGAGUUUAAUAUAUGAGGAAAUUAAGCUUCGAUUGUAGGCCCUACCUAGUACCUUACAUAUUCCAUUGCGUCACCUUGUCAUCAGCAGCAGGGUACGUGUGGGGACCUGCUGCUGAGUAGAGGAGGAUAUGGUGAUUGAUGAAGAUGGUUAUCACUGAGGAAGGACUUUGCUUUAAUUCGUUAUCUCCUAAUCUUGGAAAUUAGAAAGAAAACAGAAAAAUCUUCAAUUCCAUGUGACAAAGAAGAGGAAAAGGCAUUUCACAUGGGAAAAAAGAGCUGAAAUGACCUGUGGCAGGAGUAAUUAUUUGUACGGUUGCACAGUGAAUCUUAGAUGGAUUAGCUUAGCCUGGUUUUGUAGUCUGCCACUUUCGAUAGACAUAUAUGCAGAUCUCUGGUAUAUAUCUCUGUUUUGUUCAUUUUGAUGGUGGCUCAAGCUUUACUCUAAGAUUAUAACACACUGUCUAGCUGAUUAGCUUACCAAUUUUUUUAACAUCAUAUCAAAAGAAACCAUAUGUUUUUUGGCCGGUCCAUAAAUGAAACAUAUGAAAAAGCAACCCAACCCACAAACCCACACAUACACAUCUGAAAAAUACACACAUAGUACACAGUAACAAAGAUACGCAUAUUCACAUAUGUCAUCCAUCACAACAAAACUCUACUUUUCAAGCUCAGAGAGAGAUGAAAGAAAACGCAGAAUUCUAUGAAAACCAUGAAAAGAUUACAUCAACAUCACCAGGAAAUUAGCAGAGCAGAAACAGAAAAUCAUUCCAUAUCUAUGGUGGUGGGCUUGGGUAAACGUGGUUGCUGAUGACCUUGUUGGCGUUUGAUGAUGUGGUGGUUUCAGAGGCUCCAGCAGCAGAAGCUGAAGGACAAUCUGAAACAGAGCAAAAGCUUUGGACAAUUUGAUCAAACAUCAUCCUCUUCACUAACCUCUUCUUCACAGGGAAGACACUGCCAGGUUUUGGUUUGAACAACCAUGGCUCAGCCUUGGUUUGAUCUUGAGAUGGGCUCAAAUUCAGCUUCAUGGGCUCCUUUGGAUUGUGCUCUGUUUUUGGGCAGAGGAGGUCUUCUUCCCCAUCUGGCUUCAAGUACUUCAGCGCCUUCCUUUCAUCUGAAGAUUUCUUCAUUGCCAUCUCUUCUCUGUUGAUUGAGGAAUCGUGGGAAGCUCCCUGAUAGUUUAAAUAGAUUAGAAAUGUUUCCAUUGUG